GACGUAGGGCGCGAGCGUUGUCCGGAUUUAUUGGGCGUAAAGAGCUUGUAGGCGGUUUGUCGCGUCUGCUGUGAAAUUUCGGGGCUCAACCCCGAACUUGCAGUGGGUACGGGCAGACUAGAGUGUGGUAGGGGAGACUGGAAUUCCUGGUGUAGCGGUGAAAUGCGCAGAUAUCAGGAGGAACACCGAUGGCGAAGGCAGGUCUCUGGGCCAUAACUGACGCUGAGAAGCGAAAGCAUGGGGAGCAAACAGG
rnacentral:rRNA from 1 species